rnacentral:rRNA from 1 species
UACGUAGGGGGCAAGCGUUGUCCGGAAUUAUUGGGCGUAAAGCGCGUGUAGGCGGCUCGGUAAGUCUGCUGUGAAAGUCUAGGGCUCAACCCUGGAAUGCCGGUGGAUACUGUCGAGCUCGAGUCCGGAAGAGGCGAGUGGAAUUCCUGGUGUAGCGGUGAAAUGCGCAGAUAUCAGGAGGAACACCAAUGGCGAAGGCAGCUCGCUGGGACGGUACUGACGCUGAGACGCGAAAGCGUGGGGAGCAAACAGG